CAUCUCAUUGAAUGUGAUCAACUGUGGAGCACUCUACUGUCAAGAGUAGCUUGUGAAGGGUAUGAAUAUAAGUGUCUCUCCGAUCUGAGAUCACUAUGGUGACUUACAAGCAACUCACUGUACUUUGGUGUUGGACUAACUGAGUUUUAAAUUCAAUGACGGAAGAUUUCUGGGUGCAAUCAAGUACUUGUUAAGUCAGUGCAUAAGUCA
rnacentral:lncRNA from 1 species